UUCGCAAUGCCCGAAAGGGUGACGAAGCGACGCCGCGUGUGGGAAGAAGGCCUUCGGGUUGUGAACCACUGUCGGGAGUUAAGAAAUACAAGGAUAUGAAUAGUGUCUUUGUUUGACUAAGGCUCCGGAGGAAGCCACGGCUAACUCUGUGCCAGCAGCCGCGGUAAUACAGAGGCGGCAAGCGUUGUUCGGAAUUAUUGGGCGUAAAGAGCACGUAGGCGGCUAUGUAAGUCGGUUGUGAAAGCCUUCCGCUCAACGGAAGAACAGCAUCCGAUACUACAUGGCUUGAGUGCGGGAGGGGAGAGUGGAACUUCUGGUGGAGCGGUGAAAUGCGUAGAUAUCAGAAGGAACGCCGGCGGCGAAAGCGGCUCUCUGGCCCAUAACUGACGCUGAGUGUGCGAAAGCUAGGGGAGCAAACGGGAUUAGAUACCCCGGUAGUCCUAGCCGUAAACGAUGGGCACUAAGUAGAGGGGUUUU
rnacentral:rRNA from 1 species